UACAGAGGGGGCAAGCGUUGUUCGGAAUUACUGGGCGUAAAGGGCGCGUAGGCGGCCUGUUAAGUCGAACGUGAAAUCCCUGGGCUCAACCCAGGAACUGCGUCCGAUACUGGCAGGCUUGAAUUCGGGAGAGGGAUGCGGAAUUCCAGGUGUAGCGGUGAAAUGCGUAGAUAUCUGGAGGAACACCGGUGGCGAAGGCGGCAUCCUGGACCGAUAUUGACGCUGAGGCGCGAAAGCGUGGGGAUCAAACAGG
rnacentral:rRNA from 1 species